rnacentral:rRNA from 1 species
UAACAAGGAUUCCCCUAGUAACGGCGAGUGAAGCGGGAACAGCUCAAAUUUGAAAUCUGGCGGUCUACGGCCGUCCGAGUUGUAGUCUAGAGAGGCGUCUUCCGCGUCGGACCGUGUACAAGUCCCUUGGGAUAGGGCGUCGUAGAGGGUGAGAACCCCGUCCAGGACACGGACCCCCGAUGCUCUGUGAUGCGCCUUCGAAGAGUCGAGUUGUUUGGGAAUGCAGCUCAAAACGGGUGGUAAAUUCCAUCUAAAGCUAAAUACCGGCGGGAGACCGAUAGCGAACAAGUACCGUGAGGGAAAGAUGAAAAGCACUUUGGAAAGAGAGUUAAACAGUACGUGAAAUUGUUGAAAGGGAAACGCUUGGAGUCAGUCGCGUCCGCGGGGAUUCAGCCGGGCUUUUGUCCGGCGCACUUCUCAACGGAUGGGCCAGCAUCGAUUUCGGCCGCCGGAAAAGGGUCGGAGGAAUGUGGCACCCUCGGGUGCGUUAUAGCCUCCGGUCGCACACGGUGGCCGGGAUCGAGGACAGCAGCGCGCCUCAGCGGCCGGGGUUCGUCCCACGCACGCGCUUAGGAUGCUGGCGUAAUGGCUUYAAACGACCCGUCUUGAA